rnacentral:SRP_RNA from 1 species
AACCGGUUCCUUCGCGACGUGAAUCUGUGAACUCCGCCAGGCCCGGAAGGGAGCAACGGUAGCAGGCUAGCGGGCGCCGAAGUGCGGCUGGUUUGG